rnacentral:rRNA from 1 species
GAGCGAUCAAGUGAAAUAAGGGCAUUUGGUGGAUGCCUUGGCGCUGAGAGGCGAUGAAGGACGUGCUACGCUGCGAAAAGCCGCGAGGAGCUGCGAAGGAGCUUUGAUCCGCGGAUAUCCGAAUGGGGAAACCCACCUUCGAUAGUGGAAUUCUGAUGUUCUCACCUUAACCGGCGAGGGCAUUGGAUUUCCGCUAUCACAAGAAGGGAUAAGACUCCUGAAUACAUAGGGGGUUUUAAGCAAACCCGGGGAACUGAAACAUCUCAGUACCUGGAGGAAAGGACAUCAACCGAGACUCCGCUAGUAGUGGCGAGCGAACGCGGACCAGGCCAGUGGCGAAUGUGAGACAACCGGAACCUGUCAGGAAAGCAGGGCCUUAGAGGGUGAUAGCCCCGUACGGGUAAUGCGAUGAUGUAUCCUUGAGUAAGGCGGAACACGUGAAAUUCUGUCUGAACGUGGGGGGACCACCCUCCAAGCCUAAGUACUCCUCAGCGACCGAUAGUGAACCAGUACCGUGAGGGAAAGGUGAAAAGCACCCCGACGAGGGGAGUGAAAUAGACCUGAAACCGGACACCUACAAACAGAUGGAGCCCAAGAUACGUUCUGGGUGACAUCGUACCUUUUGUAUUAUGGGCCAGCGACUUAAUUUAACGAGCAAGCUUAAGCCGAUAGGCGUAUGCGCAGCGAAAGCGAGUCUGAAUAGGGCGUCAAGUUCGUUGUAUUAGACCCGAAACCUAGUGAUCUAGCCAUGAGCAGGUUGAAGGUGAGGUAACACUCACUGGAGGACCGAACGGGUGUCUGUUGAAAAAGACUCCGAUGACUUGUGGUUAGGGGUGAAAGGCCAAUCAAACUGGGAAAUAGCUGGUUCUCCGCGAAAGAUAUUUAGGUAUCGCCUCGCAUGAAUGCUUCGGGGGGUAGAGCACUGGAUGGGCUAGGGGGACUUACCGUCUUACCAAACCCAACCAAACUCCGAAUACCCGAAAGCAAUGUGCGGGAGUCACACGGCGGGUGCUAACGUCCGUCGUGGAGAGGGAAACAACCCGGACCUACAGCUAAGGCCCCUAAUUCGUGGCUAAGUGGGAAAGGAUGUGGAAAUCCCAAAACAACCAGGAGGUUGGCUUAGAAGCAGCCAUCCUUUAAAGAAAGCGUAACAGCUCACUGGUCUAAAUAAGGGUUCCUGCGCCGAAGAUGUACCGGGGCUCAAGCCACGAGCCGAAGCUUAGGGUGUGUCGGAUCUUCGGAUCCGAUACGCGGUAGCGGAGCGUUCUGUAAGCCUGCGAAGGGCGACUCGUGAGAGCGCCUGGAGGUAUCAGAAGUGCGAAUGCUGGCAUGAGUAACGACAAACACUGUGAAAGACAGUGUCGCCGAAAGUCCAAGGGUUCCUGCGUAAAGUUAAUCUUCGCAGGGUUAGCCGGUCCCUAAGGCGAGGCAGAAAUGCGUAGUCGAUGGGAAUGCAGUGAAUAUUCUGCAGCCAGUGGAAUGGUGACGAAUCUCGUAUGUUGUCUGACCUUAUUGGAUUGGUCGGGCCUCGAAGAGGUUCCAGGAAAUAGCCUCCACAUUAGACCGUACCCGAAACCGACACAGGUGGACUGGUAGAGUAUACCAAGGCGCUUGAGAGAGCUAUGUUGAAGGAACUCGGCAAUUUACCUCCGUAACUUCGGGAUAAGGGGGCCCAUUGCGCGCGCAAGCGCGUCGUGG